UACGUAGGGGCCGAGCGUUGUCCGGAGUUACUGGGCGUAAAGCGCGCGCAGGCGGUCGUUCAAGUCGAGUGUGAAAGCCCCCGGCUCAACUGGGGAGGGUCACUCGAUACUGAUCGACUCGAAGGCAGGAGAGGGAAGCGGAAUUCCCGGUGUAGUGGUGAAAUGCGUAGAUAUCGGGAGGAACACCAGUGGCGAAGGCGACUUCCUGGCCUGUUCUUGACGCUGAGGUGCGAAAGCUAGGGUAGCAAACGGG
rnacentral:rRNA from 1 species